AUUUCUUAUGUAUCGGAAGUCAGGCAGUAAUUGGUUUAAGAGGUAGAGUGACGGCUAGCAUUUAAAGUCAACAGUAAGAAGUUGUUUUGAUAUGUUAAUGAACCAAGAGAACUUCAAUCAGACUUUUACAUAAAGCAAUAACUGGAAUAGAUUUGAAUUGAGUUGGUUUAGUUUGAAGGGAGAUAUAUGCAAAUUUUAAAAAAGAUGUAAGGAAGUGAGGUAAAGAUAGGAUAAGUUUGUUUUCACAAGCUUAAGAGCUAAAGUAAAGAACAAUUUAAUCAAUUCUGGGAAGAAAGCAUUUCUGAAGAGAUUGGUUGAGAUAACAGAGAGGUCAAAGGGAAGGAAUGCAUUUAAGGAAAUACUGAAGCCUAUGUGAGAGGGUGGCUGCUUAGAUCUCCCAGAAGACAGCAGGGUAGCUGGUCAGAACUCCCAGAAGACAGUGUGAACAAGACCAGACUGAAAGAAACAGCUGCUGCCAGCCUCAGAGGACACCCUAAGGAAAAAGCACUUGUUUGGUAAAAAUGACUGGACUUGUAUAGAUUCUAAGACCUAUAAGGAUAGUUGCUGAACAGAAAAGGGGAAGCUCUGAGAAUAGUUAAGUCAAGAUGAAAAGAGCCAGAACCUUCCCAGCCACUGAAGAAAGAGGAAGAAAGCAUUGAAGGCUCCGCAAGUCCAGCCCCUGCCUCACUACCAGUUCAGCUGCACGCAGCCAGACUACGAGUGAUUCAGGUGGGAGAAGUGUGUGUGUGGCCUUUUGGAGCCACGUGUAAGCACUCUCCCACAUACACAGAGCCUUCCUCCAUCACACUCAUCUCCA